UCUAGCCUCCAGGAGCACUGACAACAUAAGAAGCAUGCUGGAAUUUCUGAGAACCGAGCUGUUGCUCCAGGGCAUCUUCACAUUCCAGAUGCGGUU